GAUGAACGCUAGCGGCAGGCCUAACACAUGCAAGUCGAGGGGUAGAGGUUUUCGGACCUUGAGACCGGCGCACGGGUGCGUAACGCGUAUGCAAUCUGCCUUGUACUGAGGGAUAGCCCAGAGAAAUUUGGAUUAACACUUCAUAGUAUUUUAGUGUGGCAUCACAUUAUUUUUAAAGGUUACGGUACAAGAUGAGCAUGAGUGCCAUUAGCUAGUUGGUAUGGUAACGGCAUACCAAGGCUACGAUGGGUAUGGGUCCUGAGAGGGAGAUACCCCACACUGGUACUGAGACAAUGACCAGACGCCUACGGGAGGCAGCAGUGAGGAAUAUUGGUCAAUGGGCGCAAGCCUGAACCAGCCAUGCCGCGUGCAGGAUGAAGCAUCUAUGGUGUGUAAACUGCUUUUGUACGGGAAGAAACACUCCCUCGUGAGGGAGCUUGACGGUACCGUAAGAAUAAGGAUCGGCUAACUCCGUGCCAGCCGCCGCAGUAAUAC
rnacentral:rRNA from 1 species